rfam:Brachypodium distachyon strain Bd21 chromosome 2, whole genome shotgun sequence.
AUUGUACUCCCUCCGUCCAACAAAAGAUGUCUCAAGUUUGUCAAAAUUUGGAUGUAUCUAGACAUGACUUAGUGUAUAGAUGCAUUCAAAUUUAGUAGUUGAGACAACCUUUGUUGGACGGAGGAAGUACUGU